AAUUUUUUAUUUCAAGUCAAUUCAAUUUUAAUAAUGUUGAUACCCAUUAUGCCCACGAGCUUGCUUUAAAGUACAUUGUUUUCAAAAACUACUGUAUCAUUAUGUAAGGAGAGAAACGUUGCGGAAAUUGAACUAUAAAUAUUGAUAUUAAAAUAUUUGAAAUAUUUAUCAAAGGCAAAUUGCUUAGUUUUGUACAAUAUUGUAUAUUUUGAAUUGACGUACUAAUAUUAAACAAAAACUAAUUGGCUACAUUUUUUUCUGGGUUUUACAACAUUCUAACUUCAACUUAAAUCUAACGUUAACUACUUUAUUUGUUUUAGUCUAUAAUUGGAGACACUUAUCUCAUCGAUUGAGCAACUCAGCAGGAAAUAUUUACUGGAAAAGUUGUUGUGAGGAGCAAAAAUUUAUCGCUACCAGACGGAAAAUAGUUUAAAGAUAAUAGUAAUAAACAAGAUAGUAGUUUGAAUCGGGAAACGUCAUCGAACAAUAACAAUGAAUUACAUCAUCAAUUAAAUGAGAAGUAAACUACCUGUAUUGACCAAAACAUGUAACAAACAAAGUAAUUGAUAUAUUUAAAACUCAAAAGGAAAGGAUAAAGGUUCGUGAUUGAAUCAUAGUACUAAUUAUAGCAAGGCACCUAGAACUAGAAUUAAAACAUUUUCUUCAUUGGAUUUCGACAUCUUGAUGGCGAACGGGACCACUAGUUUUUUGGACAAAUCGAUAAAUCGCUAGAAAAUUCUUCGCGGUUUCUUUUAGUGAAAAACAUUGAGUGCGAAUUACCAGUUAUUGACAGGAACGUACAAUAAUUACAACUAUUUUUAUUUUGUGGUUGAUUUCUAAUAAAGGUCCAUCCAUCUUGUAAAGAUGCAGAUCUGAUAAUUUCAAAGAAAUACUUAUUUUGCUCCUCCAGAAAGUAUUUGGUUGAUUAUAAUAGUAGUAGAAAAUUGAAACUAUUACUAUAUGAAAUGAUAUUAAGGCCGGUUGUGACAUAUAGAAGCGACGUCUGGUCAUUUACAACACAAAAUAAGAAUAGCCUAAAGAUAGUUGAAUGAAAAACCAUGUUGAAUGAGAAAACAUUGUUAGAUUUGCAAAAGCUCAGAGAAUAAAAGGGAUGGGAGACAUCUUAAGAAUGAGUGAAACCAAGAAGAAAGUAUUUGCGAGCAAACCAGAUAUACCAAGAAAUAGGAGAAGACCUAGAAAAAGAUGGAUAGACGGUGUUACUAACGGCAUAAAGAAGUAGCGCGUUAAAAAUUGGAGAGUGACAGCACUUAAUAGAGUGCGUAAUUGUGCAGAAGGCCAAAUCUCACCAAGAGAUGUAAAUAUAGACAGAAAUAUAAUGGAGGCCAAAGCAAUCUUUCAAGUAGUUCGUUUGUGGAGAUGAAUCUAACUUUUGGGGCGCUGAGUACAAGAUAUAUUUAUAAUUAUAGUUUUUGAAUACAUCCAUUUUCAAUAUUUUCGAUAUCUUAAGUUCAACUCUUGUUACAAUUGAGGUUAUAUCAAAUGACAAUGAGUUUGACUUGGAAUACUAAGGAGUCGUUAAGGACAGAGGACUCUUCAAGGUAUGACUAUGAAUAUGACCCUUAAUAAAUUUAAUUAAGGAUAAGUAGUGUUGGUGGGAAUAUAUGUGAAGUUCGUCGAAGUGCCAUAAAGUAUGGAGCUUUUGACACUUUAAUCGAAAAUACUUAUUGCGGUUAUUUAUUACUGUGAUAAAUCCUGUUAUAAAGGAUUAAGCAUUUAUUUAUUCCACAAUGUUGAAAAUUUAUCUUUCAUUUUGACUUUUCAAAAGAUCAAUCUGACAAAAUUGAAAUAAUGUCUGAUGGAAAACUUAUUUGCAAAACCACGGUGUUGUUGUUGGUACUCACUAGAUACUCUUCAACUUACAACAUUUUUGUUUGAUUUUGAACCUAUUUGGUUUGUAAGUAGAGUGUUAUUAAGUUUCUUUAAAUACUUUCGCCUAAUAUGAUAUUAUUCCUGAUGAUGGUAUAAAAUUAAAAUCGGUUAAACAAA
rnacentral:lncRNA from 1 species